CGCCUACGGGGGGCAGCAGUGAGGAAUAUUGGUCAAUGGGCGCGAGCCUGAACCAGCCAAGUCGCGUGAGGGAAGACGGUCCUAUGGAUUGUAAACCUCUUUUGCCGGGGAGCAAAAGACGCCACGUGUGGCGUUCCGAGAGUACCCGAAGAAAAAGCAUCGGCUAACUCCGUGCCAGCAGCCGCGGUAAUACGGAGGAUGCGAGCGUUAUCCGGAUUUAUUGGGUUUAAAGGGUGCGCAGGCGGAAGAUCAAGUCAGCGGUAAAAUUGAGA
rnacentral:rRNA from 1 species